AUCGGAGCCAUGGCUGACAAAUUCAGCGAAAAGGGAAGGAGCAAAGGCUGCACGGGAAAUAUAAGAGCCGGCCGCAAAAUCGAUCGCAUCGACUUUUCUAGUCUCGAUUAUGUCGCACUACAUAGAAAAAAGAAGAUGGCAGGAGGAAUCUUCAACAACUUGGGCAGUCUGUGUAAAGUGGAUUGUGCUAAUGUUCAUCCCUUGGUGUGUCACCUGUGCCAUGAGCAGUACCAUUCCCCAUGUUUAUUGGACUGCUACCACAUCUUUUGUGGCCGCUGCUUGAGAGGUCGGACUAUUGACAAUCGCCUCAGCUGCCCCCUCUGUGGAUACCCAUCUAUAGUAAAAGGGAAUAAUAGCCUCCCACCAGAGGACCGUCUUCUGAAGUUUCUUGUUGACAACAAUGCAGAUGCUGAGGAGACGGUGCAGUGUGCCAAUUGUGACCAGGAAAGCAACAAAAAGGACACAGGGGUGAUGUACUACUGUAACACUUGCAGCCAGCCAUUGUGCGCCGCCUGCAGGGAGCUGACACACAAGGCCAGAAUGUUUUCCCACCAUGAGAUUGUGUCCUUGGCCAAACGCACCAAAGCCAAACACAGGAAAUGCUCUCUCCACGAGGAACCUUACAUCCUAUUCUCUACAGAGAAUAAGUCUAUGCUUUGCAUCAAAUGCUUCAGGGACAUGCAAGUGGAGAGUCGGAGUCACUGCAUUGAUAUUGAAACUGCUUACGUGCAGGGGUGUGAGAUGUUGGACCAGGCUGUGCUGGUGGUAAAGGAACUGCAAACUUCAACUGGAGAGGCGAUUCUUCUGCUGAGAGCUAUGCUAGGAGAAGUGUGUCUGAACGUGGAGGAAGAAGAGAACGCAAUCUGCAGUCUGUUCAACAGUUUGCAGGAAAAACUAGAAGAGAGGAAGAAGAUCCUGCUAAAAGCGGCUCAGAGCCAACAUGAAGAAAAGGAGAAAGCACUAAAGGAGCAACUGUCACACCUUACUGCACUCCUACCUACCCUCCAGGUCCACCUUGUCACCUGUUCAGCCUUCCUCAGCUCAGCUAACAAGUUUGAGUUUUUGGAUAUGGGCUAUCAACUCAUGGAGAGGCUGAAGAGGAUUGUAAAGCUCCCUCAUCGACUGAAACCAGUGCAGAGCAGCAAAAUCAACACAGAGUACAGAAGUGAGUUUGCUCGCUGUCUAGAGCCUCUGCUGCAGAUAGGACCACGCUGCCCUCCUUCUGUCACUGGUUCCACAAGUGCUGCAAUACGACAGGUUUGCUGUUGCAUCAGCUCUGGACAAAGAGGCAGGAGUAAGAGGCCACCAGGUUGCAGGCUCCAGUCCCCUCUCUCUGUGUCUUGUCGCUCCCCGUCGCUCAGUGAGAUGCCCCUGGGCUCGGCGUUUGGGCGAAGGCCCACCUCUCACCGCAACAUCUGCACUAAGGUUCUUUUGGCCGAGGGCAGGGAAACACCCUUCACUGAGCACUGCCGCAAUUAUGAGAACGCCUACAGGUCUCUGCAGACAGAGAUGCAGAAUCUGAAGGACCAGGUCCAGGAGCUGCACAGAGAUUUGACCAAGCACCACUCCAUCAUCAACACAGAUAAAAUGGGGGAGAUCCUGGACAGAUCGCUACACAUUGACAGUCAGAUAGCUGCCCAGUACUCCACAGUAGAAACUAUGAGAGUCAUGUUUGAAGAGAUGUGGGAUGAGACUUUUCAGAGGGUCACGAAUGAGCAGGAGAUCUAUGAAGCCCAGCUUCAGGACCUGAUGCAGCUGAAGCAGGAGAACUCUUACCUCACCACCAUCGCUAGACAGAUCAGCCCCUACAUCCUGUCCAUUGCUAAAGUGAAAGAGAGACUUGAGCCCAGGUUUCAAGGGCCCAAAGAGCACCUUGAUGACCGCACUGAGACGAUGCUGAAAAUCUAUGAAGACAGCACAAUGACAAAAGACUGUCAAGACAGUGACAACCAGACUUGUGUCAAAGACAGAGACAAGAACAGCCGCCCACUGAUGCUCGAGGGAGAAUCCUGUCAAGACCCGCCGUACAGGCAGGCAGAGGGGCCCCACAGAGGCGUCCAGCGGCAAUGAGAUGCCUUCAUAAACACCAUCUCAUUGCACCAGCGUGCUUUAAUUCAGCUAUAACAAGCACAGGAUGGGAUGUGACUCCCAUGGCUGUCCACACCAUGACAUUUUCUCAGCAGCAGGAAGCUGUCAACAGCUCCAAGGUGAGCCCUUGGAUUGACACUAACUGGAUGUACACGGAGGCCAAGGACUCACACCUGUCAGAGCCUGACUUACAGGACCUCCUUAUUCAAUGUGGACAAAGACAACAAUAUCAUAAAGAGCUGUCAUGGGAUUCAUUAACAAAAGUGAAUAAGUGUGUGUGGAAUUGCUUUUUCUGGUAUCUAUUCUUUGCAUAAAACAUUUCCUGUGGAGGCUGAUGAUGGAUGACUGCCUGGGUCCGAUUACCCAGAAGACUGUUGAACCGGCGUGACAGCACAGAUGAAACACAGCAAAUGCAAUGAUGUGUGUGUCAUUCUUGGUGUCAGCUGAGGUCACAUGUUGAUGUGUGUCAUGUGUAUCAUCUCGUGCAUCGGCGUAACGUGAAAUGGGGCAGUCUAUUCCAGGAUUGUGUGUGGAGCUUUUUUUUUUUUUUGCCUGCAGUUUCAACAUCCACAUGCAAAAAGCAGGAGAGCUGAAAUGGCAGAGGUGUGUGAAUGUUACUGGCCUUGCCUUAACCUCCAUCUCCUGCUAGCUUUUUCCAACAUCAUACU